rnacentral:tRNA from 1 species
AAGGGGGAGGAAAAAUCCACCAAGAACUGCUAACUCUUAUUUCUGAGCCUAAAAUCUCAGCCCCCUUA